rnacentral:rRNA from 1 species
CAGUCGCCGCGGUAAUGCGAAGGGUGCAAGCGUUAAUCGGAAUUACUGGGCGUAAAGCGUGCGUAGGCGGUGAGUUAAGUCUGCUGUGAAAUCCCCGGGCUCAACCUGGGAAUGGCAGUGGAUACUGGCUCGCUAGAGUGUGUCAGAGGAUGGUGGAAUUCCCGGUGUAGCGGUGAAAUGCGUAGAGAUCGGGAGGAACAUCAGUGGCGAAGGCGGCCAUCUGGGACAACACUGACGCUGAGGCACGAAAGCGUGGGGAGCAAACAGGAUUAGAUACCCCGGUAGUCCCUGUCUCUUAUAC